GCUUCCUCAAUCGAUCAGGACGUCGGUCUCUCUGCUCUUUGGAUUUUGCCUUUUGUUUUGUUUCUUGGUUGUUUCCUGCCUCGUGGUUCAGCGUUGCGAGAAGGACCAGGGAAAAACCGAGUGGGUGAGUUGUUGCGCCCCCUCAGAACUGCUUACUGCCUGCUUUUGUCCUUUGUCCCUCCUUCCUGGCCCUUCUCCACAUUUCCGAUCCGCCAAAGGCACCUGGGGUUGCAACUCCCCCCCCCCCCAUUUCCUCAUCCAUCCUUACGGGGGCUAGUCGGCUGAAGUGCGCUCGUUCAUGGCUUCUGUUCGAGCCGCGUGGAUUAAAGGCUAGCAGCGGUGCUGGUGGGUCCCAUUACGCCCCCCCCACCUUACACUCUCGGUCACAGAGGCGUUUCGCUGUAGCCUUCCCUUGGGUCCCCGGCUCCCCCCCCAUCUGCGUUCCCUCGCUGCCCCGAGGGGAGGAUUGCUUCUUAUUGUUUCCUCCCUCGCUGCAGGGCUAGCGAACGGCUCGGUUAUCCUUUUAAACACGGCAUUCUGCAUUGAGUAGCAGCCGUUGGGAGACCGAGCGCUGAGCAAUUUAGGGGAUUGUUUGAGUCUUCUUCGAGACGGAUAGACAGCAAAGAGUGUUUGGGGCUUUCCAGCGCUUCAACCUUUAGGGCGCAGUUUGAGCCUUGGAGCACCGUCUCCGGACCACUGCCUUCGGCGGCUCAAACCCCUGCCAGCACACACACACACACCCCCCCGCUCGGCACGGCUGUUGAGCCCCACGCGGCUCCUUCCAGCUUGUCUCAAGCGGCUCAUUGUUUACUUAAUACAGCUUCAGCGCUGCCUUGGCUUUAGCCGCUGAUUGUGGUUGCUUCAGCCGGUCCUUCCAGUUUGUUUGUGUGCACGUGGGUUGUGUGUUGCGUGGGACGGCAGAAAGAGUGUUUUGGCUGCAGAGAGGGAAUUGGGCUUCCUAGGGCGCGGAGCAUUCGCGAAGGUGCUUUUGCUAUUAGCCGCCGUUGCCCUGCAAUUUGCUGACAGGCGAAGAGUGCCUUUGUGUUCCUUUGCUCCCCGCUCUCUUUGCCUUUUCAUUGGCUGCAGGCUUCGCCUUUGUCCCACCCUCUGUUUUCAGGCUUGCUCAAGUCUGUAUGCGCUCACAGCUGGCACCAGCCGGGUUUCACAUCCCCCCCCCCCCCAGCACAACAUUAAGGGAAGGGGGAAAGUUUCUGAGGCACAGGGUUGCCUUUUGGCUGUUUUGUGAAUUCCUUUGCACUCACGCCUACGAUCCGCAUUGGCGGCAGGGAGCACGUGGUCGGUAGCGACCAUUUUAGAAGCAACCACGUGCUUGCGUAGUCAGGCAGCGGCCGACUGCCAUCUUGGGAGGGGCAGAGAAGUGCCCGGUCGCUUGCAGCUUCAAUAAUCCUAACUCCUCCAUAAAUAAAGCAAUUAUUCUUUGGAAAUCCUCAGGCUGUUGUAUUGGUUUCAUUAGAGGUCAUUCAUAGGAAUAAUUCAUAAUUGGGGCAAUAAAUUGAUUGUAUACAACGGGUUAAGAAAUAAAUAAAUAAUUACAUAUCAACUAUUAAUAAUUAAAAUAUAAUUGCAUUAAUUAAUUAAUUCAUACUUCAGUUUAAGUCAUACAUUAGUUUAUUAUUAAUUCAUACAACAUCUAUAAUAAUCCAUACAAUUUUAAUUAAUUUUAAUUUAUAUUCUAAUUAUUAAUUCAUUCAAUAAUUUAACAACUCUAAUUUAAACUUACACACAUACUAUAGGGUAGGGCAAUUUUGGAGGUUAGCAAUUUUGGUGAGGUGUUUUGUGUGUGCUGUGCAGAUUAGUUAAUUCUCAUUCAGUGGAUUGAGUUUUCGGGCCUAUUUGUUUUGGUUAAUAAUCAAAUAGAUUGUCGCAGCGCUGCCAUUAUUGAAGGUCCUUUUACUAAAAAGUUCAGCAUUUCGACUGGUUAAUUUUAACUGGCUUCUGGCCUGAAUACCGGGUUUUAAUUUAGUAUUUGAGGCCUUUUGUCUCGUCGCUGCUGAAUUAAAUUUGCUUUAUUGAGUUCUAUUUACAAUUGGUGUUUGCUGCUCUACGGGUCUGGGUAAAAGGCGGAUCUACACGGAUCCUCAUGGAUCCUCCACUUUUUAAACAAUAACUCCAACAAAUGCAGUGUCAAAUCACACCUAGAAGGCACGCCUACAAACUGGACUAUAAAAAACGUGGAUCCAACACUUUGCCGUGCUGCAGCACCACAAAAACAUGGAUCUGAGGCACGGAUCCUCAUGAAUUCAUAUGAUUUUUAUAUUGAAACAAAAUAAAAACACCAUGAUACUGUAGACCACAUCUUAGUCUGUAGGCAGAACCAAAAAAAUCACGCAUCCACUGUUUCGUGGUGCCGCAAUGGCGCAAAAACAUGGUUAAAAAACACGGAUCCUCAUGAAUCCCCAUAAUUUUUGCACUAGAUCAGCCCAAACUCACCGUAAAAUUACACAUCAUGUCCAGGGGCACCACCUGCACCACAAAAAUCACGGAUGCACGGCUUCCUGGCCAUACUGUGGCCCAAAAGCGUGGUUCCGAAGCACGGAUCUUCAUGGAUCCUCACACUUUUUGCAUUCGGCCCCCCCCCAAACUCACUGUCAAAUCACAUAUCAUAGCCAGGGGCACAGCCUACACCACAAAAAACUCGGAUCCACGCCUGCCUGGCCAUACCGUGGCCCAAAGCGUGGUUCCGAAGCAUGGAUCCUCAUGGAUCCUCAUGAUUUUUUGCACAAGACCAGCCCAAAGUCACUAUCAGAUCAAACAUCAUGGCCAGGGGCACAGCAUCUACCACAAAAAUCACGGACCCAUGGCUUCAUGGUGAAACCGUAGCCCAAAAACGUGGUUCCGAACCACGGAUCCUCACGGAUCUUCAUGCUUUUUGCAUUGGGCCACCCCAAACUCACUGUCAAAUCACACAUCAUGUCCAUGGGCACUGCCUUCACCACAAAAAACUCGGAUCCACGGCUUCCUCGACAUACCGUGGCCCAAAAACGUGGUUUUGAAGCACGGGUCCUCAUGGAUCCUCACGCUUUUUGCAUUAGGCCACACCUAAAUCACUGUCAAAUCACACAUCAUGGCCAUGGGCACAGCCUGCACCACAAAAAACUUCGAUGCACGGCUUCCUGGCCACUCCAUGACCCCAAAACGUGGUUUUGAAGCACGGAUCCUCAUGGAUCCUCACGCUUUUUGCAUUGGGGAACCCCAAAUUCACCCUUUAUUCAAAUAUCUUGUACAUAACCACAGAUCUGACCACAAACAUCAUGGAUCUACUGCCUCAUGGCCCUGGCCAGAUGCUACCCUGGAUAUAUUGGCCAAUUUUUAGGUGGGUGUGCUGGGAUGGAGGAAACGGAGUCGGCUGAAUCUCUAUCCAUUAAAGAUGGGCAUCCAAUGGCUGGGCCAGAAUAAUUUCAGUUUGGUUUGCCAGCUCCCAGCUCUUCAUGGGGCGCAAUAGUCACCUGUAGCUGCCAUCAGGAGUCCCGGUGUGAUCCUGGAUGCUUCUGUCUCUAUGGAGGCAUUGGUCACAAAUGUAGCCAAACUGGAAUUUUUGAAUCUAUGUCAGCUUAGGCGAUCAGUACCGUACCUGUCCCUUUCCAACCUAGCCAUGGUGAUCCACGCAGUAGUCAGCUGCAGACUAGACUACUUUAACUUGCUGUACACCUGAGCCAGGGAGUGCAGGGUAUAAAUGUGAUAGAGAGUGAGAGAGAGAGAUAUGCAGGGCUACCCUUGAGACUGCUCCAGAAACUCCAAAUGGUCUAAAAUGCAGAUGCAUGAGUUCUUACUUGGACUUUGUAGAGAGCCCACAUUCAGUUGGUUGUUCAUCAGCUGGAUUGGCUCCAGGUGGAGUAUCGAAUCAGGUUCAAUGUUUUGGUGCUAAUCUUUAAAGCCCUAAACAGUCUGUGACCUUUCUUAUCUGUGGGAAUUAUCUUCCAAUACACCCCCCCAUGAGUGUCACACUCAUCUAACAGCAACCUACUGGUGGUCCCUGGCCCAAAACAUAUCCAGCUGUCCUCAACCAGAGCCAGAGCCUUUAUGGUGGAGCGCUUUGUCUAACUGAGACCAGGGCUCAGUGCAAUCUAUCUCAGUUCUCUCACUUGUCAUGGUGAGUGGGCUUGCACAUUCCUAUGACCCUUGUGAGCGAAGCCAUUGGGAAUCUCGUACUCCCAGCAGGGUCACCCAAGGUGGUAAGGUCAAAGAAAAUUAAAUAUGCUCAGAGUCCUGUAGUGAUUUCAUGCUCUUUAUUGCAGCUUGUAAAACAGUGACUGAAUUUCCCCCCCAAACCUCAGGCUUUUAUAUACAUUAUUUACACAAUGAGUCCCGUCUGGCUGGCUGAUUCUGCUUCCCUCCUGGAGCCUGAUUGGUCUUUUCCUGCAAGCCAAUCAGUUCUUGCAUUCUAGGAUCCUACUUGCCUAUUGUUCUAGGAUCCAAGCUUAGUACAUAACAGGGAAGGAGCUAGACAAAGAAUGAUCCAAGAAGUCCUCAACGGCAGAACAGGCGGGUGAUAACAAGCAGUGUGUUACAACGGCUCUGAAGGAGCAUGAAGGCUGCAGCAGAUAGGAUCCACCAGUUCGUCGUGACUACUCAUGCCAUCAGAACAGAGCCCUACUGCGAAGGCUGUCCGUUGGUCAGCGUGCACUGAUCUACACACAUAAAACAAAUUCACGCACAGGCGUCUUCCAAAAACCCAACCCAACCCCCCCAAACCCUCCCCCCAUGGCGAUCACUAAAUGGCUAUUCCAUUAACUAAAUGGCUAUUAAUGACUAUUCCAUUAACAGGGUGAGCUGAAGCAAAUUCUUGCCUCCCUUUGGGAUUAGCAAUAUUUCCUACAAUAUUCUUGUUGAAGGGCAUUGGAGAGUUAGGUGAGGGUCACUUUUCUGUUUUUCCAUCAAGCCCCCAGACAAGAAUGCUACAGCAUCAGCCCCAAACACUCAGUCUCAUAACAAAAAAUACUCAACGGGGUUAGGGCUGAGGGUAGGGGAAGUACAAUCAUGAUCUUUCCAGUCCUCUAGAAGCUGACCCUUUUGGUCAUUUUGGUCAUGGAGCCAAAUAUCUGUUCCCAAGUUUAAAGAUCUAAACAAGUAAAGAACAAGCUUGCCCUUUACAUGCAAAAGCCCUGAAAUUCAGCCCAUUGGGCAACGGAUCAUGGGGCUGGGAGGAGGGAGGUAAGGACUAGCACCUUCUCUGCCCUCCACCUCCAACAGCUACACCGGAAAGUUUCAUGAUGGGGUUCGAUUUGAGAAGCUGAAUGUUUAUAAAGGCACUUAGCCAAAUUCUGCCACGGAAAUUCUGAACAGAAAAUGUAAAGAAACUGAAGGUACAUUUUUUCACCUUUGGUGGACGUGCCCAAAGAUUAAGGCUUUCUGGGAAAUAAUAUAUAAUGAAUUUAAAAAGGUAUUUAAAUAUACCUUCUUGAAGAAACCAGAGGCCUUUCUCCUGGGCAUAGUCGGCCAAUUGGUGUUAAAAAAGGAUAGAACUUUCUUUAUGUACGCAACAACAGCAGCAAGAAUACUUAUCGCAAAGUAUUGGAAGACACAAGAGCUACCCACACUGGAGGAAUGGCAGAUGAAACUGAUGGACUAUAUGGAACUGGCGGAAAUGACUGGUAGAAUCCGUGACCAGGAGAAGAGUCGGUGGAAGAAGAUUGGAGGAAAUUUAAAGAUUAUCCACAGAAAUACUGCAAAAUUAAAGAAUGCUAGAUUGAUGAUGGAUUGAAAUUAAGUGGUUUCUAGCUGCACAGGUGUUAAAGUUAUAUAUAGACUAAGAUUAAGGAUUAGGCAUAAAAAGGUUAAAAGAAUGGAAAAUUGGCUAUUAAUAGAUAAGAAUUUAAAGUUAUACCAUAUUAAGAUUAAGGAUUGGGAUUAAAAAAGAGGGAAAGAAAUUGCUGGACAAAUAAAUUGAACUGGAAUACAAAAGAGGGAGGUAUGAGGAGGUCCAGAAAAUAAGUAAAUUUAAAAGUGGAGAUGAAAAGAUGGUAUUGUUUUUAACUGUUCUUUUUUUGUUUUUUGUAUUUUGUAUUGUGUAUUUUGUAUUGUGUAAUUUUCUUUUUAUUUUUAAAUUUUUUUAUUGAUGUGUCUUUUCUUAUUGGAAACUUUAAUAAAUAUCAUUUUUUUUUAAAAAAAGGAAAUUCUGAACAGAAACACUCUGCAGGUUCAGCCCCCAAAAGAAACUGCUCUAUGGUCUCUGUGUUGGGAAAUGGGAACCAAACUUGCUCAUCACCAACCUUCCCUCCACAAAUCAGUAUCACUAUGAGGCUGAACUGAACGGCUUGCUCCAGAGUUUUAAGAGAUACGUUUCUGUGGUGUUGUGGUUAAGAGCGGUGGACUCUAAUCUGGUGAGCUGGGUUCGCUUCCCCGCUCCUCCACAUGCAGGCUGCUGGGUGACCUUGGGCCAGUCACACUUCUCUCUGAACUCUCUCAGCCCCACCUACCUCACAAGGUGUCUGUUGUGGGGUGGAAGGGAAAGGAGAUUUUUAGCCACUUUGAGACUCCUUCAAGUAGAGAAAAGCAGGAUAUAAAAACUAACUCCAUAAAUAAGAAUUCUAUGGAAAAUGACCAUCCCUGCCAUGAUGAUGAAAACUAUAUGUUUGGAUUUUGCUGUAUUAUACCAACCUGUGGAAUAUGACAGUUCGCAGUUUCAAAAUCUAUUUGGCCACAGUGGAUUGACAGUCUGUUUUGUUUUUUUUAAGAUAUUUAUUACAUAUAUAAAGUUACAAAAAAUAAAAAGAAAAACCAUACAAAAUACAAAGAAAACUUUAGCCACAGCAUAGCAAGAAAUAAACAAGUAAAAAAGAACAAUAAGAUAGAAUAAAAAAGACUUGACAAAAAAAUAUAAAAAUACAUUGAGUUAAAAAAAAGACAAAAACAGAUUAAACCUUUACAUAACCUUUUUCUCUUUACUUAUUUCCAUGACCUCCUCUCACCUCCCAGUUUUGUAUUCUAGUUCAGAUCGUGUUUCCAGCAAAUCCUUCUAACCUUAUUUUCAUUUACGUAUUUUAAAAUUAGAAUAAUGUGAUUAAACCUCCUCUAAUUCAUCAAUUUCAUCAACUCAUUUUUGCUUAGUCCAUUAUAUCAUAUCUACCAGAACGAUCUAAUAUUCUUUUUCCAACCUCUUUCUAGCAUUCUUUUAUAUUGCAGUACUUUUGAAGGUAUAUUUUGAAUUUUUCCAAUCUUCUUCCAUCGACCCUUCUCCCUGGUCUCGAAUUCUGCCUGUCAUCUCAGCCAGUUCCAUGUAGUCCAUCACUUUCAUCUGCCAUUCUUCUCGGGUGGGCAAUUCUUGUGUCUUCCAGUACUUCCCGAUGAGUAUUCUUGCUGCUGUUGUAGCAUACAUAAAGAAAGUUCUAUCCUCCCUUCGCACCAAUUGGCCGACCAUGCCCAGAAGAAAGGCCUCUGGUUUCUUCAGAAAGGUAUAUUUAAAUACCUUUUUCAGUUCAUUAUAUAUCAUUUCCCAGAAAGCCUUAAUCCUUGGGCAUGUCCACCAAAGGUGAAAGAAUGUACCCUCAGUCUCUUUACAUUUCCAACAUUUACUAUCUGGCAAAUGAUAGAUUUUUGCUAGCUUGACUGGGGUUAAGUACCACCUGUAAAUCAUUUUCAUUAUAUUUUCUCUUAAGGCAUUACAAGCCGUAAAUUUCAUACCUGUGGUCCAUAACUUUUCCCAGUCAGCAAACAUAAUGUUAUGUCCAAAAUCUUGUGCCCAUUUAAUCAUAACAGAUUUAACCGUUUCAUCCUGUGUAUUCCAUUUCAACAGCAAGUUAUACAUUCUUGACAGAUUCUUAGUUUUAGGAUCUAACACUUCUGUUUCCAAUUAUGAUUUUUCCUCCUGGAAACCAAUCUUCUUAUCUAAAUUAUAAGCCUCCCUUAUUUGAUAAUAAUGAAGCCAGUCUCGAACUUUAGUUUUUAAUUUGUCAAAGCUCUGCAGCUUUAAUCUAUCUCCAUCCUGUUCUAAAAUUUCACAAUAUUUUGGCCAAUUUGUCUCCAUAUUAGUUUUUUUCAGAGCCUUAGCCUCCAUUGGUGACAGCCACCUUGGUGUUUUACUUUCCAACAAAUCCUUAUAUCUCACCCAGACAUUAAACAAUGUCUGGAUUGACAGUCUGGACACACGAAAACCUCUGGAAGAUCUUUUGAAUCAAUGCCUAUGCGAAAGCAGUGGUACCAGUCCUUGCAGUUUCCUUCACAGUAAACCAUAGUUAGGUCACCACUGGGCCUCCUGCACCCUUCCUUCAAGAAACAUAGUGACCAGCAGCCUUCAAACAAGGAAGGUAAAAUAUCUGAGCAAUAGGUUAGUGUAUCCUUCCAUCCCUCUGGGCAUGAUCGAGACACAGUAAUGUAACUCUCGUUCAAGAUUUGUCUCUUCUUGAGAGGAACAGCAUCAAUUUCCACUUGAAAAUAUUUGUCUUGUCCUUCAAAAUGGGUUUUCCCACAGUACUGUAUUAUUUCUUUUGCAAUCCAGGGUCUAAUGACAGCCAUAUCCUUUUGUAUGAACUGUAAUUGGGCAGCAGAAGCAAUCAGAUGGGCAAUGGUACAUGUGAAAGGACCGUAGUCACUGGAAUUACCUUGCCUGGGUAUAUCAGUUGGUGCAAAAAAUGACCAGCCGCAAAACUAUAGGGAUAUUUUGAAUCCAUCUCUUACAGACAUGCUAAGAAGGAUGUUAUUGCAUCAAUCACAGAGUGUUUCAAUCCAUGUUUGGAAUCAUAGAAUCAUAGAGUUAGAAGAGACCACAAGGGCCAUCGAGUCCAACCCCCUGCCAAGCAGGAAACACCAUCAGAGCACUCCUGACAUAUGGUUGUCAAGCCUCUGCUUAAAGACCUCCAAAGAAGGAGACUCCACCACACUCCUUGGCAGCAAAUUCCACUGUCGAACAGCUCUUACUGUCAGGAAAUUCUUCCUGAUGUUUAGGUGGAAUCUUCUUUCUUGUAGUCUGGAUCCAUUGCUCCGUGUCCGCUUCUCUGGAGCAGCAGAAAACAACCUUUCUCCCUCCUCUAUGUGACAUCCUUUUAUAUAUUUGAACAUGGCUACCAUAUCACCCCUUCACCUCCUCUUCUCCAGGCUAAACAUGCCCAGCUCCCUUAGCUGUUCCUCAUAAGGCAUCGUUUCCAGGCCUUUGACCAUUUUGGUUGCCCUCCUCUGGACACGUUCCAGUUUGUCAGUGUCCUUCUUGAACUGUGGUGCCCAGAACUGGACACAGUACUCCAGGUGAGGUCUGACCAGAGCAGAAUACAGUGGCACUAUUACUUCCCUUGAUCUAGAUGCUAUACUCCUAUUGAUGCGGCCCAGAAUUGCAUAGGCUUUUUUAGCUGCCGCGUCACACUGUUGGCUCAUGUCAAGUUUGUGGUCAACCAAGACUCCUAGAUCCUUUUAACAUGUACUGCUCUCAAGCCAGGUGUCCCCCAUCUUGUAUUUGUGCCUCUAAUUUUUUUUUGACCAAGUGCAAUACUUUACAUUUCUCCCUGUUAAAAUUCAUCUUGUUUGUUUUGGCCCAGUUCUCUAAUCUGUCAAGGUCGUUUUGAAGUGUGAUCCUGUCCUCUGGGGUGUUAGCCACCCCUCCCAGUUUGGUGUCAUCUGCAAAUUUGAUCAGGAUGCCCUUGAGUCCAUCAUCCAAGUCGUUGAUAAAGAUGUUGAAUAAGACCGGGCCCAAGACAGAACCCUGUGGCACCCCACUAGUCACUCUUCUCCAGGAUGAAGAGGAACCAUUGAUGAGCAUGUUGGGUAUAUUGAUUUAUUGCUCAGAUAAGCGUCCGGCACGCUUCCCCAUCGCGCACAGCUCUGGCCGGCAUUCCAAAGUCCACAUUCCUGAUACUUCUGAGCAUAGCAGAGUUCGUCAGCAGCGGCAAGAGAAAGACUGCAAAGAACUCCAGUGCCUUCUUCAGUGUGCUUAAAUAAAGUCCACUCAGGAUCUUAGCAGCUAAAAGCAGUUUUAUUUACAGCAGACUAUCCAUUAUCUAUCACAGCGAACAGCAUCGUGAAAACACGUCCUCUCUCCUCAAAAGCGAAAGUAGAGAGAAAGAACAAAGGCUUGAGGCUCUCGGAAAUGACGCAGAAGUUCCCCCCUCCCAACAGUAGGCAGAGCGUACACUCUGAGCUGUUUAACCCUGUAAGCUCAGGUUCUCCUCACAGAGCACCCUUUGGGUUCGGUCAGUCAGCCAGUUACAAAUCCACUGAGUGGUAGCAUAGUCAAGACCGCAUUUUACCAGCUUCUUUACAAGAAUAUCAUGGGGCUCCUUGUCAAAUGCCUUGCUGAAAUCAAGGUAGGCUACAUCCACUGCGUUCCCUUCAUCUAGCAGGCUUGUAAUUCUGUCAAAAAACGAGAUCAGGUUAGUCUGACAUGACUUAUUUUUCAGAAAUCCAUGCUGACUAUUGGUGAUCACAGCAUUCCUUUCUAGGUGCUCACAGACUGUUUGCUUAAUGAUCUGCUCCAGAAUCUUCCCUGGUAUUGAUGUCAGACUGAGUGGGCGGUAAUUAUUUGGGUCCUCUCUUUUCCCCUUUUUGAAAAUAGGGACAACAUUUGCCCUCCUCUAGUCUGCCGGGACUUCGCCUGUUCUCCAGGAAUUCUCAAAGAUGACUGACAGUGGUUCUGAGAUCACAUCUGCCAGUUCUUUUAAUACUCUUGGAUGCAGUUCAUCUGACCCUGGAGACUUGAAUUCAUCUAAACUAGCCAAGUAUUCUUGUACUAUCUCCUUAGUUCUUCUGGGCUGUGUUUCCUCUGCUGAAUCAUUUGCUCCAAAUUCUUUAGGUCGGGCAUUGUUUUCUUUAUCGGAGAAGACUGAGGCAAAGAAGGCAUUGAGGAGUUCAGCCCUUUCUGUGUCCCCUGUUUGCAUUUCACCAUCUUCUCCUCUGAGUGACCCCACUGUUCCUUUGUUCUUCCUUUUGCUACUGAACAUACCCAUAAAAGCCUUUUUGUUGCUUUUAACCUCUCUAGCAAGCCUGAGUUCAUGCUGUGCGUGAGCUUUUCUGACUUUGUGUCUACACGUGCUGGCUAUUUGUUUGAAUUCCUCUUUGGUGGUUUUCCCCCUUUUCCAUUUUUUGUACACAUCCUUUUUUAAUCUUAACUCAGUUAAAAGUUCUUUAGAUAGCCACCCUGGCUUCUUUAGGCACCUUCCAUGUUUCCGUCUCAUUGGUAUUGCCUGAAGUUGUGCGUUUACUAUCUCCCUCUUAACAAACUGCCAGCCAUCAUGAACUCCCUUUCCUUUUAGUAUUACUGUCCAUGGGAUCUCACCCAGCACUUCCCUAAGUUUUAUGAAGUCGGCUUUCUUAAAGUCAAGAAAUUGAGUCCUAGUAUGCUUGCCUGCUCCUUUCCGCUGUAUAGUAAACUUCAGAAGAGCAUGAUCACUCGCGCCUAAUGAUCCUUCCACUUCUACCCCACUAACCAGGUCAUCAACAUUGGUUAGGACCAGAUCUAAAAUGGCUGUUCCUCUUGUUGCUUCUCCCACUUUCUGGAGAAUGAAGUUGUCUGCAAGGCCAGUGAGGAAUCUGUUUGACCUUAUGCUCUUGGCUGAGUUUGACAUCCAACAAAUAUCUGGGUAAUUGAAGUCCCCCAUUACUACUAUCUCCCUUCCUUUUGCAUGCUUGGCCAUCUGUUCCAGGAAGGCAUCAUCUACGUCCUCCGUUUGACUUGGGGAUCUAUAGUAAACUCCCACAAUGAGGUCACUGUUAUUCUUCUCUCCCUUAAUUUUGACCCAAAUGCUCUCACUUUGGCUUUGAGGUUCUAAAUCUUGGAUCUCUUCACAGGUAUACACAUCCUUGACAUAUAACGCCACUCCUCCUCCUUUCUUGUCUGGUCUGUUUCUCUGAAAUAGAUUGUAUCCCUCCAUUAUUACAUUCCAAUCGUGGGACUUAUCUCACCAGGUUUCAGUGAUGCCCAUUAUGUCAUAUUUAGUUUGCUGUACCAAGAGCUCAAGCUCAUCUUGUUUAUUUCCCAUGCUUUGCGCAUUAGUGUACAGACAUUGAAGUCCAUUAAUCAUUCCCCGUGUCUCUUAUUUAAGGAUUUUUCCUCCCACCACUAGGUCUGCGUGCUGUUUGCUCCAUUUGGUCUAUGACAUUUGGAUGAUCAUCUUCAUCAAUUGAUAGACUCCUACCUUCAGGAGCACUGUCUCCCUCCCCACAUUAGUCAGUUUAAAGCCCUCCUGAUGAGGUUUCUGAGAUUUUUGGCAAAAACAUUUCUCCCAACCGUUGUGAGGUGCAGCCCAUCGCUUGCCAGAAGUCCAUCUUCAAGAAACUGCAGUCCGUGAUCUAAGAAUCCAAACCGUUCCUGUUUACACCAUUUGCGAAGCCAGCUGUUCACUUCCACUAUUUUUCCCUCUCUCCCUGGGCCACGUCGUUCAACUGGGAGGACAGAUGAGAUGACAAUUUGUGCAUUUAAUUGCUUCCAUUUCCUGCCCAGAGCCUCGUAGUCUCUUUUGAUCUUCUGGAGGCUAUUGCUUGCAGUGUCAUUGGUUCCCACAUGAACCAAGAGGAAGGGGUAUUUGUCAGUGGGCUUUAUGAUUCCUUGCAGUCGUUCAGUUACAUCUUGGAUCUUAGCCCGGGGAGACAGCACACUUCCCGAGACAUCUUGUCAGGCCCACAGAUCACUGCUUCUGUUCCCCUCAGUAGGGAAUCCCCUAUCACCACUACACGCCUCCUCUUAGGUUUGGUCGGGGUUCUUCCGUGAGCUGUCCGUUCCAAGGUCGCCUGCACAUUCCCUGAGGACUGACUUUGCUGCUCGUCUUCAUAUACCUGAUCGACUGUAAUGAGGAGAGAUCCUCAAAUGGAGUCUGCUCUUCGUCUUCCAUGCUAGGGGAGAGGACCUCAAAGCGAUUGUGUAUUUCUAAACAAUCAGAGCGAACCCUGGGCCUCCUACUUCUUUGAGUCACGUUUCUCCAUAUAUCUGGCUCCUGUGUUGGUGAACUAGCCUCCUUCUCAGGGAGUCCUCUGUCUCCUCCUUGGUGGAGACGGUGUGCUCUGUUGCUUCCAAGAAGAGCUCCAGCUCUCUAAUUCUUUGGAGCGUAGCUACACGUUCCUCCAGUUGCUGGACUUUGUCUUCUAAGAGGGCAAUCAACAUGCAAUUGCUGCAGGUAAAGCUGCCUGCAAUCUUUGGCAAGAUGGCAAACAUUGCGCAGGAACCGCAGGCGACUGCAGCUGUUCCCUCCCCCUCCAUCUUGAGAACGUGUUGUUGGGGGUGGCUACAGCGAUCCUCCAUCAUAAAAAGCAUGAAGACAGGACAAAUAACUCCCCCCCCAAAAAAACCAAAAAACCCCCCAAAAAAACCUAGGUCUCCCCCAACAAACAUUUGAGACUAGCUCCCCUAAAUCUAAAAGAUGGAUCAAACUGCGUGCGCCGCUAGAACACCCUUUUGCUCCUUCUUCAGCUGCUGCCCUGCAAGCUCUGAUAAGCUCCUCCCACAGCUAAUCACCUGCCUCAACAGAAACCCUGCCCCCUCUGACCUUUGCACAGGGAGAGCAGCUAAUCAGCCACAAAGAAACACACACACAAGAAAACCCUUUUUGCUCCUUCAGCUGCUGCCCUGCAAGCUCUGACUGCUGUGGUGAUAUAACUAAAUAGUUCGACUGAUGAUUUCACAGUACAGUAGCUGAAGGAGUCAUUCCCAACAGCAUAGUUUUGGGGUCCAAUGCAAAUUUAGGGUAUUUUUUUACAUUUUUUCAUUUCGAAAUGAACUUUCCUCCAAAACUUUUGGUCUUUUCACAGGUCCACCAUAAAUGGAAGAAGAUUCCUCAAGGUCUAUCACAUUUCCAGCAAUGUCCAUUCAUUGCAUUAUUCAUCUUCUGUAUAUUUUUCAAAGUUAUAUACCAUUGAAAGAACAUUUUUGUACAGUCUUACCUCAUGUUACAGCCGCUUCAGGUUACGUGUUUUUGGGUUGCGGACCGCGGGAAUCCUGGAAGUACCGGAACGGGUUACUUCCGGGUUUCGCCGCUUUCACAUUCGCAGAAGCGCCAAAUUGCGCUGGUGCCUGUGCAGACGUGGCGCUUCAGGAUGCGAACGCUGUGAGUUGCAGAUGUGCCUCGGUCAUGGGUUAUGUCUGCAACCCGAGGUUCCACUGUACCAAUUUUGUUUUAGGGCUUAACUUGCAGUAAAUUUUAUUCCUUUAUUCAUAAUUGUUCUCAUUGUUCCACUGUGAACUGCGUGGUUGCUGAACAACUCCAGGCACGCCUGGAGGAUGCGGACCAUUUGGAUCCCUUCCAAUCGGGAUUCAGGCCUCACCAUGGGACUGAAACUGCCUUGGUCGCGCUGGUUGAUGAUCUCCGGCGAGCUAGGGACAAAGGUGAGAGUUGUUUCCUGGUUCUGCUGGAUCUCUCAGCGGCCUUUGAUACAAUCGACCAUAACAUCCUGUGAUGGGAUGAUGAGCUGCUUGUGCGUAAAAUCGUAUCCCCUCAGAGUUUGUUCAAGUCCACAAACCUCUGUCUGUGACAGAGCCCCUCAGACAUGGCUACUCUAGUCACUAGCAGAUUCCGACAGUGGUUGCUUUCGUAAUCGCUUCCAACAUAAAAGCUCCUUAACGGAAACACGUCUUCUGGAAUCUCUGCGUGACAGUUUCCGGCGAGGAGUGGGUGUUCUUACAGGAGGUCCUGAAACCUCUCCACUGUUUUCGCUGGAAGUGUCUCUGAGCCAUCCCUCCAGCUCAGCUCCUCUCCCCCUGCUGGUUCCCUCAUCAGCUGCUGCGUCUCUCCCAACCUGUGUGAGCCCUUUCACCUCCCUGUUGGUUUCCUCUUCAGCUGCUGCGUCUCUCCCAACCUGUGUGAGCCCUUUCACCUCCCUUCCGUCCGAUGGCAGUUCCCUGACACAUCCUUCUGGACCGUAUAGAGGGGCUGGGAGCUCGGGGCACUGUUAUACAGUGGUUUCGCUCCUUCCUCCUGGGCCGUGUUCAGAAAGUGGUGGGGGGGGAUGAGUGUUCAGACCCCUGGGCCCUCACUUGUGGGGUGCCUCAGGGUUCCGUCCUCUCCCCCAUGCUUUUUAACAUCUAUAUGAAGCCGCUGGGAGAGAUCAUCAGGGGGUUUGGACUGGGUGUCCAUCAAUAUGCAGAUGAUACCCAGCUCUACCUCUCUUUCAAAUCAGAACCAGUGAAGGCGGUGAAGGUCCUGUGUGAGUGCCUGGAGGCGGUUGGAGGAUGGAUGGUGGCUAAUGGAUUGAAGUUGAAUCCUGACAAGACAGAAGUAUUGUUUUUGGGGGACAGGGGCGGGCUGGUGUGGAGGACUCCCUGGUCCUGAAUAGGGUAACUAUGCCCCUGAAGGACCAGAUGCGCAGCCUGGGAGUCAUUUUGGACUCACAGCUGUCCAUGGAGGCGCAGGUCAAUUCUGUAUCCAGGGCAGCUGUCUACCAACUCCACCUGGUACGCAGGCUGAGACCCUACCUGCCCGCGGACUGUCUCGCCAGAGUGGUGCAUGCUCUAGUUAUCUCCAGCUUGGACUACUGCAAUGCGCUCUACGUGGGGCUACCUUUGAAGGUGACUCGGAAACUAUAACUAAUCCAGAAUGCGGCAGCUAGACUGGUGACUGGGGGCGGCCGCCGAGACCACAUAACACCGGUCUUGAAAGACUGGCAUUGGCUCACAGUACAUUUCCGAGCACAAUUCAAAGUGCUGGUGUUGACCUUUAAAGCCCUAAACGGCCUCGGCCCAGUAUACCUGAAGGAGCGUCUCCACCCCCAUUGUUCUGCCCGGACACUGAAGUCCAGCGCCAAGGGCCUUCUGGCUGUUCCCUCAUUGCGAGAAGCAAAGCUACAGGGAACCAGGCAGAGGGCCUUCUCGGUAGUGGCGCCCGCCCUGUGGAACGCCCUCCCAUCAGAUGUCAAAGUGAUAAAUAAGUACCUGACAUUUAGAAAACAUCUUAAGGCAGCCCUGUUCAGGGAAGUUUUUAUCUGUGAUAUUUUACUGUAUUUUUGGUUUCUAUGGAAGCCGCCCAGGGUGGCUGGGGAAACCCAGCCAGAUGGGCGGGGUACAAAUAAUAAAUUAUUAUUAUUAUUAUUAUCAUCAUCAUCAUCAUCAUCAUCAUCAUUAUCAUUAUUAUUAAAAUUUUUGCAUCCAUUUUGUCAUAUAAGGUUUUGCUUGUUCGGGCUUGGUGUCAUAUUUGAGUAAUAGUUUAUAAAUUUUACCCAAAAGGUAGAACUCUGUUAUGAUGGACUCAAAUUCUGUCUUUUCACUGAUUUAAAUGUUUGCCAUACAGUCUUUCUUGAAUCUGGAUAUUAGUUUGACUGAAGGGGCGCUGCGCAGAGAGGAAAAUCUGUGCAGCGCCUCUCCAGCAAAGCAAAGCCUGGAGAGCAAGAGGGAUUGGUGUGCACCAACCCCUCUCGUUCUCCAGGCUUCAGGCUGCUAUCCGCAAGCCUUCGGAGCACAGCGGGAACUUGUGCUGCGCUCCAAAGGCUUCAGGCGGCUAUCCCUGAAGCCUGGAUAGCGAGACCCUCUCGCUCUCCAGGCUUCAGCGAAAGCAACGCGUAGCCUCAGGAGCGCCGAGGGAGCGCUCCCUCUGCGCUUCGGAGGCUUCGUGUUGCUAUCGCUGAAGCCAAGGAGCCUGCAUUCGCUCCAUAGGACGCACACACAUUUCCCCUUAAUUUUGGAGUGUAAAAAGUGUGUCCUAUAGAGCAAAAAAUACGGUAGACAUAUAUUCACUUAUCGGCUCUAAUAAUAAUAUUGCAGUGGUGACAUUAACAGUGCAGGUAAGGGCAUUGUUGUGAUUUUUGUAGUGCAACUCAUGAUUUUUGUGGUGCAGGCUGUGCCCCUGGACAUGAUGUGUGAUUUGACAGUGAGUUUGGGGUGGCCCAAUGCAAAAAGCAUUAGGAUCCAUGAGGAUCCAUGCAUCAAAACCACGUUUUUGGGCCAUGGGAUGACCAGGAAGCCGUGGAUCCGAGUUUUUUGUGGUGCGGGCUGUGACCCUGGCCAUGAUGUGUGAUUUGACAGUGAGUUUGGGUUGGCCCACUGGAAAAUGUGUGAGGAUCCAUGAGGAUCCAUGCUUCGAAACCACGUUUUUGGGCCACGGUAUGGCCAGGAACCCGUGGAUCCGAGUUUUUUGCGGUGCAAGCUGUGCCCCAUGGCAUAAAUUGUGAUUUAACAGUGAUUUAGGGGUGACCCAGUGCAAAAAGCGUGAGGAUCCAUGAGGAUCCGUGCUUCAAAAGCACAUUUUUUGGCCAUGGAGUGGCCAGGAAGCCGUGGAUCUGAGUUUUUUGUGGUGCAGGCUGUGCCCAUGGACAUGAUGUGUGAUUUGACAGUGAGUUUGGGUUGGCCCAAUGCGAAAAGCGUAAGGAUCCAUGAGGAUCCGUGCUUCAAAACCACGUUUUUGGGCCACGGUAUGGCCAGGAAGCCGUGGAUCCGUGAUUUUUGUGGUGCAGGCUGUGCCCCUGGCCAUGAUGUUUGAUCUGAUAGUGACUUUGGGCUGGUCUUGUGCAAAAAUCAUGAGGAUCCAUGCUUCGGAACCACGUUUUUGGGCCACGGUGUGGCCAGGCAGGCGUGGAUCCGAGUUUUUUGUGGUGUAGGCUGUGCCCCUGGACAUGAUGUGUGAUUUGACAGUGAGUUUGGGCUGGCCCAAUGCAAAAAGCAUAAGGAUCCAUGAGGAUCCGUGCUUCAAAACCACGGUUUUGGGCUGUGGUAUGACUAGGAAGCCGUGGAUCCGUGAUUUUUGUGGUGGAUGCUGUGCCCCGGCCAUGAUGUUUGAUCUGAUGGUGACUUUGGGUUGGUCUUGUGCAAAAAUCAUGAGGAUCCAUGAGGAUCCGUGUUUUUUUAACCAUGUUUUUGCGCCCCUGCGGCCCCCCAAAACAGUGGAUGCGUGAUUUUUUUGAUGCUGCCUACAGAGUAAGACAUGGUCUACAGUAUCAUGGUGGUUUUAUUUAAUUUGAAUGAAAAAAUCAUAUGAAUUCACGAGGAUCCGUCUAGAUCCGCCUUUUACCUUUUUCCCUGCUCUACCUUGGAGUUCCUUCACUUAAUGCUUUCAAUCCCAAUUGGUAGUUGCAAUUGGAUAUUUGGGUAGGGUGCGCGCUCUUUGAUACUGUUUAUAUUAUUACAGUUGCCAGCAGUGUAAUUAAUACCUGAAGGCGCUGCCUUUUAAUUGAAGUGGUUGAGAGCGUGUUAGGUGGUCUCAUGGCUCCAAAGAAAAAUAUUGAUCCGGCCCCUGCUGUCUCCGAACCAAAGAGCGCUCCUGUCAAGCGUGCACAGUCAGCUCAGUCAGGCAAGGGUUCCUCCAUUACGGGGCAGGCAAUAGGGCUAUUGGGUUCAACCUUAGCAGGCAUGGCUAAAAUCCCGCGUGCAUUGCGUAAGUUUUUUUACCGAAUUUGACUCUAUGAUGGAUAGGUUCAGGCCGGGAGACGAUGACCAGGGUUCAGGCCAUCAGUCUUCCCCUGACCACAUUUCCGAUACGGGAGCCAGCGGCUCUAGUGGGUCCCAGAGUGAUGAUGGUGAGAUGCCUGACACAUAAUAAUAAUAAUAAUAAUAAUAAUAAUAAUAAAUUUUAUUUGUAUCCCGCUCUCCCCAGCCAAAGCCAGGCUCAGAGCGGCUAACAUCAUAUAAAUAAGACAAUAUGCAUAAUACAAUAUACAAUAUGCAAAUAAAAUAACAUUCAACAUUCAGUAAAAUAAUAUAAAAUAAUUUUAAAUAUCAGCAUUUCAAAAUUAAACAGAAAUCCACUCAACAAUUACAAUAAGUAAUUUCUAAACUCCAAUCAAUAAAACAACAGCAAACCACAGUGCACAACAUAAUAAAAUACAAAAUAAGAAGCAGAGACUGGAGGGUGGGGCAAGGCAGGUGGAAAGAGGCCUUGCCUGAUGGAGUCUCCCCCCUCACAGUCCUUCCUCCAGGCACAGCUUCCUUAUGAAGAAUCCUAGGACCGGGGGUGGGGCAAGGCAGGUGGAAGGAGGCCUUGCCUGAUGGAGUCUCCCCCUCACAGUUCUUCCUCCAGGCACAGCUUCCUUAUGAAGAAUCCCAGGACCAGGGGGUGGGGCAAGGCAGGUGGAAGGAGGCCUUGCCUGAUGGAGUCUCCCCCCUCACAGUUCUUCCUCCAGGCACAGCUUCCUUAUGAAGAAUCCCAGGUCCAGGGGGUGGGGCAAGGCAGGUGGAAGGAGGCCUUGCCUGACGGAGUCUCCCCCCUCACAUCCCAGGCCUUCUUUGAUAAUUUGCAAGCGACUAAUGCCGCACCCCAGCAGGGGGCUCCCACGCCUAAGCCCCGCAGCAAGCAAUCUCGUUCUGCAUCGCGCACGCGAACAAAUGUUCAGUCUGCCAUCGUGCCCCCAAGGAGGGAUGAGCAGCCUCGGCGCACAGGCUGGAAGGCCUUGCGAAAGACGGAUAGGCGGGCUUCUUCCCCCCAUUCCCCUGUCUCGGCUGGGAGGCAGCCAUCAGUGUCGUUUUCCAGCGCCACACCGAGCAAAGCGUUGGCACAAAUCGCAGGCGCUUACACGUCCUCAGAGGGCGAAAGUGUGCUUCAAUACCCAGAUGCAGCUAUAGCACCCAAAAGCGACAGCAUAAGCAGCAUUCCAAGAAGAGCAAGAAUUCCAAGAGGGACGACUCAGACUUGGACUCAGGUACGUCCUCCUCUUCUUCAUCCAGCUCUGACUGAUAGCGAUGAGUCACUGAAUUGCUACUGGGGCCUGGGUGAAGGGGUUCCUGGUUUACCGUUAUGGACAUGGAAUAGGAGAGCAAAUUCCCAUUGUAAGCGGUUUGGCGGGACCUUGAAGUGUAAGGACGGGGUGCUACUGGAGGACGUUAAAGUCUCUACCAACAGGCCCAAAGAUAUUAUCCUGGGUAAUCAUUUGUCUGCAAGAACCAGGGCCAAAAUAUUGAAUGGUGCGUAUGUAGAUAUCUUUAAGCUGCUCCCGCUAGAUGAAAAAUCUGAAAGAAAGCAUGUUUAUGGUAAGCGAAAGUAAUAGUCACCCAGGGCGGAUAAAAAUUUUGAAAAUUGGCUAAAUGGCUUCCAAGUUUUUUUCUGCGUAGUAGCAGCGGCUUAUCCAAAAAGAGCGAUGCAUUUGAUUGUCUAUCAAGCACUCGUGAGGACGGCCUACGCCACGGGCAGAGAAUCUGCGGCCAUUCAUUACGAUAAAAUGUUCCAGAGAAACGCUGCACUGCUGCCCUCUGCACACUGGGAUCGGGUGGACCAAUUUAUCUGGCUUACGUACGUGGGUCCCCACAUCAAAAAGAAACCGCCGGGGGGGCCGCCAGGGGCGCAUUGGAAGAUGGCCGACAAUACCAUCUCUCCGGCUCACACGAGGUAAUUAAGAGGCUAAUAUGGGAGUAUGUAGCCUCCCUUGUUUCCCCAGGGAAUGGGGAAAACACUGCCUUCGCCUGCGGUUGCCGAUAAAUCACCCCCGAGUUCGAAAGAAGAAGGGGGUGAAGGCACUAGGAGCACAGCACUCGUGUGGAUUUCUGGCUCUCCCGACGCCGUCUCUGAUUGCGCGACCUGGUUGCAGGAGCUUAAAGUAAACAAUUAGAGAGAGCAGCAAAUGCACAUGCUUCGAGUGAAGAACAGGAGUUUAGACUGCUAAUUGAAGUGACCUCUGUGAAGUUGAGCGACGGGCUGGAUUCAACAGGAAAAUAUAUCAAGAAGAAGAUACAUCAAAGGGUCGGUAUAUCGGGAAGGGGGGGGGGGGACUUUUCUUUUUCUCUCUAUGUGAUUACCUAACAAUCCCUCCCCAAGAAGAACCGUUGCAACAAUUGACUAUAAGUGGGGUGAUUAAGAAACUGUGUGGAAAUGAAUUACUAACCAAAGGCUUGGCUUGUGGAGAUCUGGAAAGGAGUGAAAGGCUUUUGGAAUGACGCAGUUAUAAAAAGAGAUUCGCCAUGACGGCAGGCUUUGUUGCAGGGUUGACGAUCAAGAGGGGGAGGAAGCCAUGGAUUUGUUAUUAUAUUGGACACUUGUGUCUGACCUGGCAGAACCCCCUGAGAAGAUCGAGAAGGGAGUGACAGGCCUGCGAAGAUUAAUGAGCAGACGUUAAGAUUGUUUUCUAUGGAAGUGAUGAAAUGCGUCUGCUGUCUGAAUAUGACUCUUGGAUGAAUGGAAAAAUCCACACAGGAUUAUAAAAACGCUUGUUUUCAACUCGCUUGUGGAGACUAUCAGAGGUCACAAAGAAAGGAAAAAUAUACGAAAACAACAAGAAGAGAUGAGGAAAACAACAAAGAGAGGAAUGGAUAGAACUGUGAACAUUAUUUGGCCAGAGCUGUGAACAUCAAAGCAGCAGCAAUAGAGAUGAUCGGAUCCCUUUCUGAGCUCGAAGCAUGGGUACCCCCAAACAACAAUUUAAAAUUUGACUCUGUAAUUUGGAACUAAUGUGAUUUGAUUGGUUUGUUAAUAAAAAUUAAUUUUUUUAAAAAAAAGAAAAGAAACCGUCGGACCAGGGUAAAUUUCUGAAAUCUGACUUCAAAAGAAAUACGCGCCGCAAGGUAUGCUGGGAGCUUAACAAAGGGUUAUGUCAAUGGCAAAGUUGUAAGUACUCACACGAGUGUGACGGGUGCCUGGGGAAUCACCCUGUUGUGUUUUGUUACAGGGGAAAGCAGCCCUUUCUGGGAGGCAGGGGGUCCCACCAGCAGAGUAGACAGGGUGGACAACCCCCUGCCCAAGGGGGUGCACGGAGACAAUAAUUCCCUUUCACUUGCAUUUUCACCCAUCAAGCUUCACACGCUAAAAGCCCUCCUUGAUUUGUACCCCAAUAAGAAAGAUGCAAACUACCUUUGGGAGGGCUUCUCCCGGGGGUUUAGAAUUCCUGUAUCGGUGGCUCCAAAUCCCAAGGAUCCACCCAACCAAAAAUCUGUAAGAGAAAGGCCCGAAGUUGCAAAAAAGAAAAUAGAAAAGGAAAUAUUGGCAGGGCGGGUGGCUGGUCCUUUCACUAGCCCACCUAUUCCAAAUUUGCACAUAUCCCCCUUGGGUAUUGUACCCAAGAAGGCGCCUCGGCAAUUUCGUAUGAUUCAUAACUUGUCGUAUCCCGAAGGGGGCUCAGUAAAUGAUGCCAUCCCAGGCGAACUCUGCUCAGUAAAAUACGCCUCCUUCGAUCAUGCCAUCAAACUUAUCCGGACCUUCAGAAGAGGGGCACUAUUAGCAAACUGUGAAAUUGAAUCCGCCUUCUGCCAAUACAUCCUGAGGACUUUCGUUGGUUAGGUUUUAAGUUUGAGGGCUCCUGUUACGUGGAUAAAGCAAUGCCAAUGGGUUGUUCAGUCGCAUGCGCUGCUUUCAAAACUUUUAGCACCUUUUCGGAUUGGGCCCUGCGUUUCAAAACCGGUUUAUCUGAUUUUUUACUGGUUGGACCGCCAAAUAACAAUUCAUGUGCAACGUUGCUUGAUGCUCUUGCCUCUCUUUCGCUGGAGUUAGGUGUUCCCCUGGCAGCAGAAAAAACCGAGGGUCCGGUCACGACUACGACUUACUUGGGCAUCGAGCUCGACACGGUCGCCCAGACGUCGUGUUUGCCUGAGGCCAAGCUGACAGCUCUUAAAGCGGCAAUCUCCCAGCUCCUCCCGCUCAAAAAGUAACACUCCAGGCAAAUUCAGUCCUUGCUAGGCCACUUAAACUUUGCCUGUCGGGUGGUAGCCCCCGGGCGCCCAUUCUGCUCACGGCUGGCUAGGUUAUCUGCAGGGCAGGGCUGCGGUCACCACAUCACAGGGUAUGCCUCACAAAGUCCUGGUUGGACAGACAACCAGUCAGUAGUCAAUGUCCUGACCAAACAAUCUUCGCGUUCAGAAAGGGUGUCCACGAUGCUGCGAUCGUUUGUGUUACGGUGUCUGCAAUUUAACAUCAUAUUUUCAGCAGAAUUCAUUCCUGGUAUUAAUAACAAUAUUGCGGAUGCGCUAUCUCGAUUUCAGAUGGACCGCUUCCGGUCGUUAGCCCCAGAAGCACAGCAAUUGCCAGAGCCAUUCCCGGAGCACCUGUGGAGCCUUGGAAGCGAGACGUGAUGCAGGGAGUAUUGGUUUCGGUUGCCCCUUCUAUGCUUAGGUCCUACUCAAAAGCCUGGCCUGAUUUUCUAGCAUUUCGGAGAAAAUCUUUGGGUAUUGCGCAUCAAGAGCCCCCCACCACGGACCAGGCGCUGCAAUUCUUAGUUCAUCUGUGCAACCUUGGUCGUGCAGCAAAGACCUUAACUAUACAAUCGGCUGCAAUUUCCUUCUUUGCAAAAUCUAUUUACUGCACUGACCCUUGCACUGAGUUCGUGGUGCGCAGGGCUCUCGAGGGUGGCGCAGAUUACAACCACCAAGUAAGGAGGGGCAUAGGCCCAUUCCAUUCAAUCUCCUCAGUAAUAUACGAAAUAAAUUAAAAUCAGUGUGCUGGUCCAAAUACGAGGCCCGUUUAUUCUCAGCUGCAUAUUCUAUAGCAUUUUUUUGGCGCUUUAAGAGUUGGUGAAGUGGUACAUGAAGGUGAACCGGGUCCUUUAUCCCAAGGCCUGCAGCUUGAUGAUAUUCAGCUUUCUGAUUCAAUGUUGGUGGUUCGCAUCCUUUGCUCAAAAACAGACCAAAAAGGAAAGGGUGCCUUGGUUUGGUUGAUGGCAACCAUGAAAGCGGUCUCUGCCCUGUAAAGGACACAAAAAGGUUUUUGGGUCUCAGGCCCCCAGGUUCUGGCCCUUUCCUGGUACACGAGGAUGGGUCCCGUCUUGCCAGGCAGCAAUUCACUCGGGUGUUGCGCAAAGCCAUUGAAGCUUGUGGGCUUCCGGCUAGGGAAUAUGCUGCCCAUUCUUUUAGGAUCGGGGCCGCCACAACGGCGGCUCACUUGGGAUUGCCAACAGACAGAAUAAAAGACAUGGGUCGCUGGCGAUCCAACGCGUACAAAAACUAUAUCCGCGACAGCUCCAAAAUUUAAAACAGACCAAUCACUUACACGCCUCUGUCAUUUUUCUUGAUUUUCAGGGUCAAGCCUCAUAGAAAUCUGGAUUGUGGGACACAGUAUCGUCCACUGGGCCCAGGAACGGGCGGUCGCUAAUGGCCAGGGAUGCCAACUGGGUUUUCCACCGCACAUUCACAUUUCUUGGAUAUCGAGGCGUGGGAUGCGCUGGGCAGAGAUGAUGCCAAUUGUGAUGGCCAGGGUGGAGGCACAUGUCCCCCAACACUUUGGUUGUGCAGCUGGGAGAGAACGACUUGCCUUGCCGGAAGGGCGUGGACUUGCUUUUCACUAUCAAAAAGGACUUGGGCACUCUUGCGCUGAAUUUCCUGAGAAUGACUCCCAUUUGGUCGCUGCUGUUGGAGAGACGCGUUUGGUGUGGCAGCAAUUCCCCAGCCGCUGCAGACCGUGCCCGGAAGCAUUUGAAUCAUUCCAUUUCACAGAAAGUGGUUGCAUUGAAUGGCCGGGUGAUCCCGCACCCUUCCAUUGUUUUCAGCAAAAUGACCUUAUUUUGCGACGAUGGCGUGCACCUUUCCGAUUGGGGAAUGAUAUCUUGAACUUCUGCCUGUCCAGUGUGCUUCCCCUGUGCACAAAACACUGCUCAGUGCAAUCUUCUGGGGAAAACUUCACCUAAGGCAGGAAAUAGCAGAGCUGCAGCGACGUUGCUUCCCUGAAGAAAAACAGGGAGUAAAACAGUCCAGAGACACGGUUCUUCUAAUCUAAGAAGCUUUUAUUUACAUGCCAAGCAGUAAAUCAGUCCACCAGAAAAUUCAGACAUCUCAAAGCACAACUCCGACUGAAAUCGAAACUAACUUUCACAGAACAAAGAACAAAGAACUGUGAUGUAACAUCCUGGCUGACUUCCCGUAGAAGCCCUUCCCUCAGACUCGAAGCACAGAAGGUUAACCCUUUAACCACCACACUCUACAUGAUAUAUGGCUGGCUGAUAUUGCAGAGGGCUUGAGGCAUUGACUACAGAUGUGAGCCUUUGGGCUCUUGUGGCGGUUAGGCAUUGUUUGACCUUGUGUGGGGGAGGGGAGGUGUGGCCAUCAACUGCCCCUCCAUGCUUAAGGGUAUUCCGUUAAAGGAAUCUGGGGGUGUUGAUCUAGUCUGAAGCCCGGCUGGGGGCUAGGGCCUUGACACGACCCCGACGGGAACUUCAGGGGAAGCUUGAGUUGGUUUGCAUCGACAGGGCUCCCCCUACCGGUGGCUUACCCUUACUGGACUUCCUGCACAAUGGGCAGGAGUCAGAUAUAGUCAGGUCCAAUCAAUGCCUAAGCCAAUACCGCUCACAUUCUGUAAUUCAAUAAAGUUGUGGCCAAAAUUUGCCCAAUAACAUAAACCUAAUAUCUGUGUCCUUGUGUGAGUUAUUUCCAACGAGGGGGUGGCUGCGG